AGAAUAGCACUCAGUCUGUGUAUUAUGAAAUUGUCAUUCUGUGCCACUGUUCAGCAUAAAUGGACUAAUCUUCAGUUUGAAAAUGAGUAGAGCUUGACUGCUAAAGAAUAGGUCAUUUGGCUUCUGGCAGCAGCAGAAGAUGCUGUAGUAUUAGCUGUAAGAACUUAUGCAUUCUUGGUAAGGAGAUAAAAAUUAUUAAAUAGCACUGCUUGCUUCUCUGUCUUUAAAGUAAUUCAUAUUUGGACUCAGAUUCAUCUGAGCAUUUGCAUAAUUCCUCAGGCCAUUCCUAUUCAGCCAUGCAUUCAGCUUGCGCUUAAAUUUAAGCAAAUGCUGAAGUCCUUUUCCAUUCCUGGGGCUUCAGCCUUGAUGAACAAGGUCUUGGCCAUUAGUUUAUAAUGUUUCAGUAGCUUCUGAGAUUUCUAUGCUGUAGCAAAUGGAAGAUUGCUGUAUUUUUUAUAUUAUGGGCUGAAUUUCUUUAAUGACUCAGAAAAUUUAACGGUGAAGAUCUUGGGGCCCUGGAGAGGCUCUUUUUCAACAGAGUCUUCUGUUGGAAAUCCAAGAGCCAGAGAACCAGGGUCAUGUCUCCCAGGAGCUUCAUGGACUCUGCAAAACUGGCAGUCACAUUGGCUGCCUCCCUUCCACUGGCUUCUUUCUCAAAAGAAAUGAGAUAAGGGGAAGGUUUUGUUGGGAUCUUUGGGACGUGGAACUCUUUAGGCCAAAUUCUGUUAUGAAUUAUGCCUUAUGAUUCCAGAGUAACUUCUUAACUUUGGUAGGAUUGUGCCAGGUGGUAGACAUUGUUGAGGCAAAUUGUGGUUUAAAAAAGGGAACUCUGAAAAAAUUGCAUUACCAUAUGUAUUUCUAUCCAAAUUCAGGAGGGGAGAUAGUGAAGAACCUUGAUAUACUGAUUUUUUUGUUUUCUGGGGAUGGAAAAUUCAAAACCUAUUGCCUGGCAUUAUUAAGCUGUUGUGUGUCAGUUCAGACAGUAUCAGAACAUGUCAGCCAAUACAGUUCUACUGCUUCAUGAAGACGUGUGGGAAUUGGAAAUUUUUCAAUUGUUAUUGACCCCAAUCUAAAAUGAAAUGUUUGGUUACGGCUUUUUGAAGAAAAUACAAUAAAACAAUUGACUUUUUUUUUCUUUGGGGGAAAAAAAAAUAAUAAUUUGGUAGGAAACCCUCUACAGAAUAGAUUCAUGGUCUGAAGCCUUGUUCACAGUGGGACUGGUGGGAAUUUUGCUGUUGACUUUCAUGUAGCCAGAAUUUUACUGAGGUUUCCCUUGCAGCAUGAGGGAUUGUGUUGCUCUUUAUCUGGAGGUACCAGUGUAACUUCAAAACUUCUUGGCCCACGUCAGAAAUAAAAAGUGUUCUUCCAAAUCUCAUUGAUUUGUUGGAGACCAGAAACAUAUUCUUCUAAUACACCAGUAGCAGAAGAAAGGACAAAUGUCCAGAUUAGUGCUCUACUUUGCUGGAUUGUCUUCAGAUCAUUGGUUUAAAAUGUCUGCUCUGUGAAGAGGAAUUAUUGCAGGUUCCAGGUGUAGGUAUUUACAGCAAGAUAAUACUUCUGUUUUAUUCUAGUAUUGUGCAUCAUACCAUCUCUGUUUGCGUGGUCCCAGCACAUGAGAUGAUUCACCUGCUGCUGAAUUUUCCUGUUCUUAUAGCAGAUUUUAUUAAGCUCCAGAAAGGCCUACUUGGAAGUUGGUUUUCCGUCCCAAACUGGGGUCCCAUUAUUAACGAUCUUUUAGGAGCAAAGGAACAGUUCAUUCCAUUGCUAGGUGACUGGAGUCCUUUGUUACCUUUUCUUUACCUGGGACAAGGUGUCAACGAGUGAGAGAGAGAAGAGAAAGGACUGGAAGAAUCAACAGAAGGGGAAAAUCUUUCUAAGGGAAGAGGAGUAUUCAGUGAGCAAUUUUUAUGAGAUAUACACAUUUGGAAAUUUGCUAAAAUAUGUUUGCAAUGUUUUUUAUAAGCAACAUUAAAUGAAAGUACAAUUAGUUCUGGACUUAACCUACCCACUUGUCCUUGGAUUUACGGCUAGCUCAGAGCAAUUUUCCCAUUUUGCAGUUCGAGCCCAUCUAUGUGCUUUACUGGCAGGUUCCAUCACACUGAGAACAGUACUGAUAGACACAAAAAGAGCAGAAGUUGUUCCUAAGGAGGGGCCUGAGAGAGGAGUUUCAAAAGCAGCAUGUUCCCAAAGAGGGGCCAAAUUUCUCAGAAGGACUGAACAACAAGCACUCCUGCUGUGACAGAUGGCUAUUUCAAAAGAUCGUCAUUAAAACUGGCUGAAGAUUGUCUAUUCUGUUGUUUUUGACAAGAACUUGGGGUUUCUGUUAAACAUAAUAACAGUGCAGAUUUCCUUUCAGCAUUCUAUUUUUAUGUGAGAGUUUAAAUUGUUUUGGUCAGGGAAACUCACUUUGGUAAUGCUUUCAUUUACAACUCACUGUGCUGGAGAGCCAUGUGAUAGAUGCUUCCAAAAGUCUGAUACCUGUUCUAGUUCCUCAAUGGUAUGAAGCUUUUCUGAAGUUCUAGCUGAACACAGGCAUGCUCUGUCUGAUGUGGUAGACACAGCACUUGAAUUUGUUGCUUCCAGUCAGGUUUUCUUGGGUAAGUUUCUGUUUAAGUUUUCUAGAGUGGGUUUAGCUUUGAGAUACUUGAUUUGGGAUCCUGAGCACACAAUCUUCAGUGUAUGAAUGCCUUCACUUGUGGCUGUUCACACUCAGGAUUGGGAGUGAAAGUUGGGGGGUGUUUGUAUGUAGCUGGGCACUCAGAAAGGGGGAUUGUGGAACUUGAGGCUGUUUCUCAAAAUGUGUGCUUUAACAUUUCCAUGGUUUAACCUUCCCAUCCAUAAACUGAAGGUAAUUCUUCAUCAUCAGCAGAAGACUUACAAAGUUCAGUGUUUAUGCAUCCAACCUUGGAGAAGAAGAAAUGAAAAAAAUAAAAAAAAAAAAAAUUCUCUUCCAUCUGAAUGUCUAAAAGAUCUUUUAAACUGUUAAUUAAUUGAGCAAUCAUAAUGAUGCACCUGUGGGGAUGAAGGGGAGGAAUAAUUUACAGGUGGGAGAAAUGAGGCAUGAAUGACUUCCUAGCCUUACCUCUGCCAUGCUGUUAGUCUGUGUCAGAUCCAGACAGAUACCUUCUGUCCUGUCUCCUGCAUCUGUAAUGGGUGGUUGGGAACAUCAUCUUCCUCCCCACUUCCUCCAGUUCUUCUAUAGAGGACCUAUGUCCUUAUCACGAGGCUGAUGUUUCAUGGAACUACAAGAAGUCCAUGUGUCUCAUCUCUCUGAAGAAGCAGGCUUGGAAGCUGCUUAACUCCCAGGUUUUACCCACUGACCAGUACAUGGCCAGAGAGCAAGGCAGAAAAGUCAGUCAAGAAACUAAAUUUCUGGGUGCUCUUAGGACAACUGCAUGUUCUACCCUGCCUUCCUCCUCCAGACCUUAUGCAAGCUGGAUUAUGGUGUGCUGUACUCUGCACCCCUCCCACAUCAAUUCAUGUUAUAUCUUUGUUACACUGAGCAGAGUGGUUGAGGAAUAUUUGUCCUGGUUCUGAAAUACCAGCUCACCUCAGCAGAGCAACAUGGCUUCUCUUUGUCACCCUUUCUUUCCUGCCUGAACCCCUGUCAGAAGACUUCUGUACAGAAAACACUGUCAAACUUCUCGCAUAUGUAGAAGAAAUAAGCACAAGGUUAGUUCAAAUAUUUUAAAAUCUGUGGGAUGGGCAAAGUAAAUAUAACUGCUUAGGAAAAGGUCCAACACACAAUGUCAUCUACAGGUUGGCUGGGAAUCCUGUUUAAAUUUAGUUCUUAGACACAGCUGUGAAACUCAUGAAGCCGUCACACUGCUUGCUUACCCAGCAACCUUUAUAGUCUCUUGGGAAGGCAAUAAAAACACCAAUAGUGAGCAGUAAUUCUAACAGACUGGUUUGCUUCAUUCCUCCGGCUGCUCCUUGUCGAGCUCCUGCAACAAAAGACAUGAAGUUUUUCUUCUAGAUUGACGGGAGCAAAUUGAGAACUUCUGAGUCAUAAUAAAAAGGAGAGGAAUCUGCUCUUUAAGAAUCACAAGCAACCACAGGAAAUGUGUGACAAAAAAAGAUCUGAUUGUGCAGGUGAGUCCUGGAAAGGGAUUGUCCAUAUUAAACCUAGAGAUGGCACCAGGCUGGGAAGGGUAGAUGUAAAUAUGUUUUAGGGUAGGUUUGACAUCACCUAUCUUGAUACUACUUUGGGACAAGGGGAGCAAGAUCCCCUUCAGCUCUUCUAAUAGCUCUGUAUUCAGCCAUGGUAUCUCUGCUAGCUGAGUGCCCAGAACAUGCUCAUCUUUACAGGAUCCUGCUUUGCUAGGGAAUUGUUAUUCCAGUUUUACCA